rnacentral:lncRNA from 1 species
AGUUAUUUUGGCGAUCAAGUUUUUUGUACCGUUGUCGGGGACUCUCUCUCGUUCCUUUGAAAGAACUUAGUCGGUGCCUCUUUAGACAUUCGACUCCAUGUAUAGUUUUAUUUUUUAUUUAUUUUUUUCUCGCUUGAUUUACUUGGGUUGUUAGUUUUUGAGUUCAUAUGCAGGGUUAUAGUUGGAAUGGAGAGUGGCAAGGUCCCUAUGGUGCAUGUAAUGAAGAUGAAGGUGGGAACUCAUAUCCUAACCAACAC